rnacentral:rRNA from 1 species
ACUCAAUAGAUACCCGGGUAGUCCACGCUGUAAACGAUGGGUACUAGGCUUUGUGGGAAUAGACCCCUGCAGAGCCGGAGCUAAACGCAAUAAGUACCCCGCCUGGGAAGUACGGUCGCAAGACUAAAACUCAAAGGAAUUGACGGGGGCCCGCACAAGCGGUGGAUCAUGUGGUUUAAUUCGAAGCAACGCGCAAAACCUUACCUGGGUUUGACAUCCCCGGACAUCCGUAGAAAUACGGCUUCUGUAGCAAUACAGCCGGGAGACGGGUGCUGCAUGGCUGUCGUCAGCUCGUGUGGUGACAUGUUGGGUUAAGUCCCGCAACGAGCGCAACCCUUGUCUUUAGUUGCCAGCAUUCAGUUGGGCACUCUAGAGAGACUGCCGUGGUUAACACGGAGGAAGGUGGGGAUGACGUCAAGUCCUCAUGGCCUUUAUAUCCA